rnacentral:rRNA from 1 species
CCUACGGGUGGCAGCAGUGAGGAAUAUUGGUCAAUGGACGAGAGUCUGAACCAGCCAAGUAGCGUGAAGGAUGACUGCCCUAUGGGUUGUAAACUUCUUUUAUAUGGGAAUAAAAUGUUCCACGUGUGGGAUUUUGUAUGUACCAUAUGAAUAAGGAUCGGCUAACUCCGUGCCAGCAGCCGCGGUAAUACGGAGGAUCCGAGCGUUAUCCGGGUUUAUUGGGUUUAAAGGGAGCGUAGGUGGAUUGUUAAGUCAGUUGUGAAAGUUUGCGGCUCAACCGUAAAUUUGCAGUUGAAACUGGCAGUCUUGAGUACAGUAGAGGUGGGCGGAAUUCGUGGUGUAGCGGUGAAAUGCUUAGAUAUCACGAAGAACUCCGAUUGCGAAGGCAGUUCACUGGACUGCAACUGACACUGAGGCUCGAAAGUGUGGGUAUCAAACAGGAUUAGAUACCCUAGUAGUC